AAUGUGUACAUUCAUUACCAAGCGGUAAACUUCAAUGGCCUCAAAUGAAGCCCUACUGGGACUAUACAAAGUUGCAGUUCCUUCAUUGGU